UCGGGCGGGGCCUGGGGGCGGAGUCAGGGGCCUUGACGCCGGCUGGGCCCGGGUCCCCGCGGCACCCAUUCCAGGGGACCUGGGACUGCAGCCCUGUUGCGCGAGCGCCAUCCCCUCUACCCCCGGACUCUGACCGGCGCCCAGCGUCCGCCAGUGCGCGCUGGGCUUCCCCGUAGCCACCUGGGCCCCCCCAGGUCCCAGUGACAGAGGGGGAGGCUGAAGCCCGGAGAGGGCCUGAGAGCCCCCUAAAUACCCCAGCGAAGUGGGGCCUGAGGCACGGCCGGUCCUCCUACCCGGCCCUGCUGUGCGCCGGCCGGUCCUUCUAGUUCUCUUGAGAGUGGUGACAUCGCGGGACAGACCUGGCGAGGUUGGACAUGUGACCAGAUAUCCUUGUUCUGGUGCUUAACAAUGAGAGGCUCCUAGUUUGGAGGAGUCGUGCACAGCCCCUCUUCCUGCUAAUCGGAAAAGAAACGUCUGGACUAGUACUUCUGCCAUGUGGCCCGGCCUGUUACCUGGGAUGCUCAGCUCCGACAGACCUCGUAGUUUUGUGUGGGUGAAGACAUCGCUUUCUAUUAGUAUUUGCGAGAUGGCGUGAACAGCCCUAAGCUAGCAGCUAGAGUCGCACCUGCUUAGAGCCCUAGUGUCGGGAGCGCCCUCUUCUGCCUGCGCGGUGAAGUGCAGCGUCAGCAGAUGUCCCGGUUUGGUGGUGGUGGGCUUGGCUUGUCUUCCAGUGUUACGGUACGCCUUUGCUGCUGCAGCUCUUAAUUUCCCCUUCUUACAAGCUUCUCUCCCUUUGCCACCAAGCCUCCAAGCGCGUCACCCCCUACCUAUUGUAUGCUCCCCCACAAAGGGACGCGUAUCCUCCUGCUACCUGGUUCCCACACUCUGGAGUCGGAUCCCUGAAGCCAGCACUCUGACCUGCCAGAUCUCAGCCCUGCUCUCCCGCAUCUCACACCAGUAUGGGGACGUUCUCUUUCUGAGGGUGAUUCUUGUCUGUUCUCCGUCCGUCUCAGUCCCUUUGCUCACACCUCCUUCUGGCCUCCAGUCUCCACAGUGCAUGGCCCCAAAGACAGCUCUGCCAGAAUCUGGUGGUUGUUAUUCUACAUCAAGGUAAAUGACAUCGUGGUAUUUUCCAUCUUCUUUGUAUGCUGAGGUUACGAGAAAGGUGAGACUCUAUUGUGGCUCCUUUUUAAUCUGUAUU